UACGAACGGUGCAAGCGUUGUUCGGAAUGACUGGGCGUAAAGCGCACGUAGGUGGGCUUGUAAGUCGGAUGUGAAAGCCCCAGGCUUAACCUGGGAAUGGCCCCCGAAACUAUAAGUCUUGAAUGCUUGAGAGGUUGGUGGAAUUCCUGGUGUAGGAGUGAAAUCCGUAGAUAUCAGGAGGAAUAUCGGAGGCGAAGGCGGCCAACUGGUGGUGCAUUGACACUGAGGUGCGAAAGCGUGGGGAGCAAACAGG
rnacentral:rRNA from 1 species